AGAGUUUGAUCAUGGCUCAGGACGAACGCUGGCGGCGUGCCUAAUACAUGCAAGUCGAGCGAAUUGAUGGGAGCUUGCUCCCUGAUAUUAGCGGCGGACGGGUGAGUAACACGUGGGUAACCUGCCUGUAAGAUUGGGAUAACUCCGGGAAACCGGAGCUAAUACCGGAUAACAUUUUGAACCGCAUGGUUCGAAAUUGAAAGAUGGUUUCGGCUAUCACUUACAGAUGGACCCGCGGCGCAUUAGCUAGUUGGUGAGGUAACGGCUCACCAAGGCAACGAUGCGUAGCCGACCUGAGAGGGUGAUCGGCCACACUGGGACUGAGACACGGCCCAGACUCCUACGGGAGGCAGCAGUAGGGAAUCUUCCGCAAUGGACGAAAGUCUGACGGAGCAACGCCGCGUGAACGAUGAAGGCCUUCGGGUCGUAAAGUUCUGUUGUUAGGGAAGAACAAGUACCAGAGUAACUGCUGGUACCUUGACGGUACCUAACCAGAAAGCCACGGCUAACUACGUGCCAGCAGCCGCGGUAAUACGUAGGUGGCAAGCGUUGUCCGGAAUUAUUGGGCGUAAAGCGCGCGCAGGUGGUUUCUUAAGUCUGAUGUGAAAGCCCACGGCUCAACCGUGGAGGGUCAUUGGAAACUGGGGAACUUGAGUGCAGAAGAGGAAAGUGGAAUUCCAAGUGUAGCGGUGAAAUGCGUAGAGAUUUGGAGGAACACCAGUGGCGAAGGCGACUUUCUGGUCUGUAACUGACACUGAGGCGCGAAAGCGUGGGGGAGCGAACAGGAUUAGAUACCCUGGUAGUCCACGCCGUAACGAUGAGUGCUAAGUGUUAGAGGGUUUCCGCCCUUUAGUGCUGCAGCUAACGCAUUAAGCACUCCGCCUGGGGAGUACGGUCGCAGACUGAAACUCAAAGGAAUUGACGG
rnacentral:rRNA from 1 species